rnacentral:lncRNA from 1 species
GUUGACAUAUGCAAGAUUAAGUUCUACAUAUGUCGUGUGGUACUGAAUCCCCAGCUGGGUUUAAUCGAUUCGAAUCGCCGUGUUUCCUCGGAUAUGGAGCCUCAAUCCUCACCCCAUCAUCGUAGUAAUAAGUGAAUCUUUGGUAUAAGAAAGAGGUGAUUUGCUUAUGAAAGUUGGAUAAUGAUCUUGGUUAGCUAUAAGUGAUAAUCUUGAGUUAAAACUUGAAAGUAGGCUUUACUCUUAGUAAGCUUUUAUGCAAAAGAAAUAAUUGAUCUUGAUAAAGCUUUACCUUGAAUCCCUAUAGCCUGCAUACCUGAGUCUUCAUCUCUUUUAUAGUCGGUUAAGUCUUGUGGAGUACUUUUGUACUCAGGGUUUCUUAACCCAUGUUGCAGGUGAGUCUUUUGAUAAUCCUUUUGAUGGCCAUGGUUACUUUACUCUUGUGGAGGAAAGUGACGAUGAGGUUUCUGAUGUGUGACCUUGGGCAAGUAAAAGAUGUUGUGUGAAUCUAUGGUUUAUGUAAUAAUAAAGUUCCGAAGCUUUUAUGUAUCAAAUACUUAUGGUUUGUAAACUAUGAACUUAAGUUUCAAUCUAUGUUAUGUAAUCUUUCCGCUUUUACUCUGAUUUCUCUUAUCUAUGAAAUGUUGUAAUACUGUGAUGCUUGAUGAGGGAAUUCCUGAAAAGAACGUUACGUGGAUGAUUCGGGUUUCCCGAGGACACCCGACAGACUUCUUGAGUCAUUUGGAACUCGUGCACGUCGAUCAGAAGUCUUUGGGACAAUGAUGUGUGCAUGUGGGCCACUUAAUUCACGAGGUUCUGCCACAGCUGGUAUCAGAGCAGGUUUCCCUUAGAAAGUAUAGCAGUAUUCGAUUUUGAAAACUUCAAAAGCUUUUGAGUCAAACUAAAUUUCAAAUUAGUUUGGGUCCAAAUUGCUUCUAAGCUUGUCUUAUGCUUCUAACUUGUCUCAAUUCAUUCUUUAGACUUAUCCUUCUCUCUAAAUGGAUAUGUUUUUAGUGUGAUUAUGGUGAUAUUUAUAUAUACAAGGAACAAUGCUUAUGAUAGUAUAAGAAUGCCCUAUUUAUGAAAAGAAAGUUUAUGCACUUUUAUAUCAAGUGCCUAACUUAAAGUUAAUUAUUUGUUUGAUGUAUGCUUGGUUCGUAAGUACGUUUCAUGCAUCAUUAUUGAUAACAUGUAAUUAACUUUCCCUCCUUAAAGUUGUUAAUAAUUAGAGGUAAAGUGUCCAUCUAAUUGUAAAACUCUAUUCUUUAACCUUGGAACAUAUAUAGUUCUAAUAUUCAAAAUAAAAAUAUUUUGGCAGAUGGCACGUACCCGCCUAACCGCUCGCAAGUCCACCGGAGGUCGUGUCCCCAGGCACCAGUUGGCAUCAAGGGAUCCGCCACCCUCCGAUAGCAGUGACAGCAGCACUGAUAACUCCAGCGAUGGAAACGGGAGUGACACUAGCGGAGGUCCUCCUUCGCCAAGGACCUACAGGCUUAUGAAGAAUGAUCUGCGCCUGAUGCUCACUGACAACAUCAACAUGGAAGUUCAGCUGUACCAUAUGGCGGGGUAUGUGGUCAAUCUUGAGGCCUAUGCCAACACCCUCCAUGAGGAAGUGCACCAGCUGCAGGAUGCCCUCAAUCCACCCGAGGCUCCUGAAGCAGCAGAGGAAGGACCAGUUGUCAUCCAAGUGGAUAGUGAUACUUCUGAGGAUGAAGCAGAAGAACCAGGAACUCCCACUCCAGAUGAGGGUGUUACCACCAGUGAGUCGGAGAUGGAUGACGACUAGGUGUUGAGAAGGCAAGAAGUAUGACCGAGUGUGAUCUUCUGACUUUGUAACUUAGUUAGUCAGAAAACCUCUAGUAUGGGAAGUUGUGUAAGAUAGUGGUUUCAGUAGUCCUGCCCAGGAGCGGACUUGUAUGAUAAAUAAGAUGAACGUGUUUGUGUUAUGUAAGUCAUGAUGUAUGAUGGUUAAGUAAGCAUGUUAAUUAAAGUGUGAUGUGUUUUUAAACAGAUGUCUGCUAACAACCAUGGAGCUAGUUCUUCCCAGGGUGGGGAUGAUUUUCCUAAUGCACCACCCGUUCCACCCUCUUUGGCUGAUGCAAUUGCAGCAUUGGUCAAUGCAACAACUCUGUUAGCACAAAACCAGAAUGUUGGUCAGCGUGGCCGUGGUCGCCAUAACCGAGAAGAAACCACAUAUGUUGACUUCACAGAUACUCGUCCCCCAGUAUUCACAAAAGCUGAUGAACCUCUUGAAGCUGAGGAUUGGCUUCGCACUAUGGAGCAAAAGUUCAGUCUCAUCAACUGUACUGAGACUCAGAAGCCAGCUUUUGCCGCUCAGCAGCUGAGAGGAGCAGCAGGAGUUUGGUGGGAAAACUUACUAGCUGUUCAACCAGCCCGCCACCGAAUCACUUGGGGAGAAUUCAAGGAAGCCUUCAGGGCUCAUUACAUUCCCAAGGGAGUUAUGAAAAUGAAGCUCGAAGAGUUCUUAGCUCUCCGUCAGGGGGAUGACUCAGUCAUACAGUAUAUUGGAAAGUUUAAUCAUCUGUCCCAAUAUGCAAUUGAGCAAGUCAACACUGAUGAAAAGAAGAAGGAUUGUUUCAUGAGAGGCUUGAAUACAAAGCUUCAACUGAUGAUGGCAUCAUGUGGCAAUAUAUCUUAUCAUGAGGCAGUGAACAUUGCUAUCUCCAGUGAAGAAAAGAACCGCAAGCAUAAGGAGGCUAAGAAGAAGAAGGGGUUUGUCUCAGGGUCUGGAUCAUCUGGCGGCAACAAGAAGCGCCAGAGGCUCAUGUAUCAUCCAGCUCAGCAAUUCCGCCCAUCUUAUCAUCCUUCUUAUCAGCCGCCUCAGCAACAGAAUAUGCAGAGGAGUUUUGUAAGGCCGACAAUGCCAUUCAAUGUUCAACGUCAGCCAAAUGUUCCUGCCAUUCGUCCGCCAAUGCCACAAGCUGCAAACAACCCUUGUUACAAUUGUGGGAAGAGUGGACAUUUUUCUCGUGAAUGUCCAUAUCCAAGGCAAAGUGUUCCAAAUGUCAACGCACCAAGGCCAGUUGGAAAUCAACAAACAAAUCAGAACAAAGGUCCUGCCCAGAAUCCGCAGAAGGGUAAAGGUACUCAGAAAACAGGAAGGGUUUUCCAUACUCAAGUUGAAGCUAUACCUGAGGGAGAGCCAGUGAUGCUUGGUAUGUUCCCUGUUGCCCAACACCCAGCACUUACACUUUUUGAUUCUGGAGCAUCACAUACUUUCAUGAAUAGAACAUUUGCGGAAAAGCAUAAUAUACCUAUUGGUGCAACCAAAGAUGAGUUCUUUAUACAGUCACCUGGGGGUCGACUAUGCACUAAGGAAAUGGUACAUCAGGUACCAAUAGAUUUGGGUGGAUAUAUAUUUCCAACAUCCAUGAUAGUGUUAAAAGAUCCGAGUAUAGAUGUGAUCUUGGGUAUGAACUGGAUGAGCCAGAGAGGUGCAGUUAUAGACACCUUAAAUAGAACCAUCAAGGUCAACUUACCUAAUAGCAAGUCUCAGCUUCUUAUCCAUCUUCCUACCCUUAAGAGAGCAGUUGAGCAAGUGUGUGCUAUCUCUGUUAAGGAAAUCAAGGAUAUUCCAGUGGUCUGUGAGUUUCCUGAUGUGUUUCCAGAAGAUUUACCUGGUCUGCCACCUGAUCGUGAUGUGGAGUUUGAAAUAGAGCUCAAACCAGGGACAGCACCAAUAUCCAGAAGAGCUUAUAGAAUGCCACCAAAAGAAUUAGCAGAAUUGAAAACUCAGUUGCAAGAAUUGAUGGAUAAAGGUUUCAUUCGACCUAGUUCAUCACCAUGGGGUUGUCCGGCAAUUUUUGUGAAGAAAAAAGACAAUACCUUGAGGCUAUGUGUGGACUAUCGUCCUUUGAAUGAAGUAACAAUCAAGAAUAAGUAUCCUUUGCCCCGUAUUGAUCUUCUCUUUGAUCAACUAACUGGUGCUAAGGUGUUUUCGAAGAUAGACUUGAGAUCUGGGUACCAUCAAAUUAAGAUCAAGCCAAAAGAUGUUCCAAAAACAGCAUUCACUACCAGAUAUGGUUUGUAUGAAUAUCUGGUCAUGUCUUUUGGUCUGACAAAUGCCCCAGCACAUUUUAUGUAUUUGAUGAAUUCAGUGUUCAUGCCAGAGUUAGAUAAGUUCGUGGUGGUAUUCAUUGAUGACAUUCUCAUUUAUUCCAAAACUAAAGAAGAGCAUGAAGAGCAUCUCAGGAUAGUGUUGACUCGCCUGAGAGAACAUCAGUUAUAUGCUAAGUUUAGCAAGUGUGAAUUCUGGAUAGAUGAAGUCCAAUUUUUGGGUCAUGUCCUGUCAGCUGAAGGUGUUGCAGUAGAUCCAAGCAAAGUUCAAGAAGUUCUUGACUGGAAAUCACCAACUUCAGUACAUCAAGUUCGGAGUUUCUUAGGAUUAGCGGGGUAUUAUCGCAGGUUUAUCCCUGACUUCUCCAAGAUCUCUAAACCAAUGACGACACUGCUGAAGAAUGAUACCAAGUUUGUGUGGUCAUCCGAGUGUGAAGAAGCUUUUCGGACUUUGAAAAAGUUGUUGACCACUGCACCAGUGUUAGCUCAACCUGAUAUUGAAAAAUCUUUUGACGUGUAUUGUGAUGCUUCAGGCAAAGGCAUUGGAUGUGUACUAAUGCAAGAAGGCAGAGUCAUUGCAUAUGCUUCACGACAACUUAAGCGUCAUGAAGAGCAUUAUCCAACCCAUGAUCUAGAGUUGGCAGCUGUAGUCCAUGCUCUAAAGAUCUGGCGACAUUAUCUAUUGGGUAAUACUUGUCACAUAUAUACUGAUCAUAAGAGUUUGAAAUACAUCUUUACUCAGUCAGAGCUGAAUAUGCGCCAAAGAAGAUGGUUAGAACUGAUAAAAGAUUAUGAUAUUGAAGUACACUAUCACCCAGGCAAAGCCAAUGUUGUGGCAGAUGCACUCAGUCGAAAGAAUCAUUGCAAUUGUGUGGAAGUCAAGCCUAUAGACCUUACCUUGUGCUAUGAAUUUGAAAAGUUAGGUCUUGAGAUGAUUCCACAAGGGAGUUUGACAAAUAUGACAGUUCAGUCAUCCAUCAAAGAUCAGAUUAUUACAGCCCAGCAAGAAAAUAAGGGUAUAUUUUUUUUGAAAAGAAAGGUUCAGUCUGAACCAAAUUCCAAGUUCAGAAUAGAUGAAGCUGGAGUGAUUUGGUUCAAGGAUCGUUUAGUAGUUCCAAAAGUCCCUGAACUCAGAAAACAAAUUCUUGAUGAAGCUCAUGCAACAAGACUUUCAAUCCAUUCAGGCAGUAAUAAGAUGUAUCAUGAUUUGAAACAAAGAUUCUGGUGGACUAAGAUGAAGCUUGAAAUUGCUAGUUAUGUGGCUAGAUGCGAUACUUGUCAAAAAGUGAAAGCAGUUCAUCUUAGGUCUGCUGGAGAAUUGCAACCAUUGCCAAUUCCAUCUUGGAAGUGGGAUGACAUCAGUAUGGACUUCAUAGUGGGAUUACCCAGAACAUUAAAAGGGUUUGAUUCCAUAUGGGUCAUUGUUGAUCGUCUGACCAAAUCAGCUCAUUUCAUUCCCGUAAGAAAGAAGUAUCGAGCUUCCAUCUAUGCUAAGAUAUACUUUAACAGAAUUGUAAGCUUACAUGGUAUUCCAAAGACUAUCGUAUCUGAUAGAGGGACACAGUUUGUAAAUGCUUUCUGGAAGCACCUACAUAAGUCUUUGGGUACUAAACUUCUGCAUAGUACAGCUUAUCAUCCACAGACUGGAGGUCAGACUGAAAGAGUCAAUCAGAUAUUAGAAGAUAUGUUAAGAUCUUGUGUGCUCAGUUAUUCAGAAAAAUGGGAUGAAUGUUUGCCACUAGCAGAAUUCUCUUAUAAUAAUAGUUAUCAAGAGAGCAUUAAGAUGGCACCAUUUGAAGCUCUAUAUGGCAGAAGGUGCAGGACACCUUUGAAUUGGUCAGAACCUGGAGAACAUAGUCUCUUCGGGGUUGACUUAGUCAAAGAAACCGAAGAGAAAGUCAGGCUCAUUCGAGAUAACAUGAAGAUAGCGCAGUCCAGGCAAAAGAGUUAUGCUGAUAAGAGACGUCGAUCUCUUAGCUUUGAGGUUGGUGAUUAUGUAUACCUCAAAGUGUCACCUAUGAAAGGAGUCACUCGUUUUGGAGUAAAAGGAAAAUUGGCACCUCGAUAUAUAGGUCCAUAUCAAAUCCUUGAAAGAUGUGGAAAGGUGGCAUAUCGUCUAGAUUUACCACCACAGUUGUUAUCAGUACACCAUGUGUUUCAUGUCUCUCAGUUGAAGAAAUGUCUUCAAGUGCCUGAUCAUAUCAUUCAUGUUGAAGAAAUUGAGUUAAAGCCUGAUCUGACAUAUUCAGAGUAUCCUAUCAAGAUUCUGGAUCAAAAAGAUCGAGUUACUCGUAGAAGAACUAUCAAAUAUUACAAGGUGCAAUGGAAUCAACAUACCGAAGAUGAAGCCACGUGGGAAUCCGAAGAGUUUCUCUUAGAACGUUUUCCUGAGUUCUUUUCUUCUGUCUUAUCCUUGUAAUCUAUAGUAUAAUGAUCUACCCCUGUUUUUGUAAAGGUUGGUUUUGGAAGUGCUUGACAAACUUCCUUUUCCAUUAGUUAGACUUUAAGGUAAAUCUCGGGACGAGAUUUCUUUAAGGGGGAGAGAGCUGUAACACUCUGGUGUUAAGCGAAUUAAAACAUGACAUGUCAUCAUGAGCAUUUCAUAGUUUAGUGUUAAGUAAACCCUGAUGCAUUAACCUAAAAUAAGUUUAUUUUGGAUGAAUGUGUUUAGGGAUUUAAAGUGUGUUUAAUUUAUGUAUGGAUGCUUGUUUUGGAGUUUAAAAACUUUGGGUGAAAGUUUUCCCGAGAGCUUAAGGGGGGAAACCCUAGUUUCCAAAACCCUAGAUUUGCCCCCUUUUGUGCAAUUCAAAAACCAAGCAGAAUUUGAAGUUGAGUUUAAAAGCAAAGUUGUAGGUCUUGUCAAGAUGUACAACUUUGGUGUUUUGAGUUUUUGAAGUUUCAGUACAAAAUUCAAAGUAAUUUUGAAAAUACAGAUUUCCGGAAAGUGUCCCCUUUUCAAACUUAAAUCUCCAAUUCAAAAUCUGUUUGGAAUUUUGAAAAAUGGUCAACAUGAGAGUUGUAGGGCUUGAAAAGUUGAACAACUUUCAUGUUGGGAGUUUUUCAAGUUGUUUUACUAAAUCAAAAGUAAUUUUGGAAAUUCUGUUUUGCCCCAAUUCAAAAAUUUGGAAUUGAGCUUGAAUUUCAAAAACUGUUUGGCAAAUUUAGCUAAUUUCCACUCAGAAUUAGCUCUGGUCACCAAAAGAUGUUUUGAAGUUCACAAAAUUUUACACAACUUUUGUUUUGGUAGCAUUUUGGCUUUAAUUCAACUUUUGGUCGAUUUUUGCAAAACCAGACAAAAGGGGGGGGAUAAGCUUUGGCUCCUGUUCAUGGCGGUGGACACCCGAGUCUGGAUCGGUGAAUGCCAGCGCAUGGCCACCGUUUUACCUCGUCCACGCGCGUGUUCACGUCCGUGACAAUGUGGAGCAGCUGCUGGCAACCAGAGGCGCGACGUGCCCUUCUCUGCUGCGCUCGUCGACUCCAUUUCCGCCACCGGAGCACCGAGGAGCAGUACCCCGUCCCCAUCCAAAUUGGCCGUGCUCGGUCUUCCUUGUAUCAAAUUGAGCUGUCCACGAUGUUCGCCAUCCCUCUGCGAACCCAGCGCACCUCUAAGCUCACCCUAUAACUCGCUCGAGCGCCGGAGCUUCCCUGUUCUUCUCCAAUUCCGACCGAGACCGCCGCCGUGAUCUCUCUCCGUGGCCAAGCCGUUCUCGAAGGUUUCACGUCAAUCUAGCUGGUGUUCCUAUCUCUCCUUGUCACUCUGGUGCUCAUGCGCUUGCUACUUUUCCUUGGACACGAGCAGGUUCACCGGAAUAACGUCACCGGAGCCGGAGCACCCGCCCGACCGCACGGUCACCGUCGCCAAGCUUCUCUACUGCUUCUCCCGCUGUGGUGACGUGAGCAUCGUGUUCCCUAAACCUCCUUGAACCUCUCUACACCUUUCGUUUGCUCUAUACCGGGCCCAAGUGGCCGGCCGACAGUCGGCCAUGGCGGCCGUCCGCCAGUGAUGCAGUGGAGAUGGAGAGGAGGCAGUAGAGCGUUAGCAGGUCGUGGCAAUCGGUUCGCGAGGUUGAGUCGGAGCUGAUGCGCGCGCGCGCGGGGGCCGAGGGCCUCGCUAUCGGUCGCCGGAGUCGCGGCCGAGCCGCCGUGCCGGUGGGAGAGGAAGCUGACGGGUGGGGCUAACCCGUCAGUGGCUGUGAGAGAGAGAGAGGGCGCGGGCGGGCACAGCGCGGAUGCGGGCCGGAAGCAGUGGGCCGGUCUGCGGCCCAGUUUCCAAGCAGCCCACUGCGCAGUAAUCUUUUUCUUUUUCUUUUUAUGCAGUUUUUGUUUUAUAUUUGAAUUUGUGUAGUAAAUUUUGUGCUGGUUCCAAAAAUUGUAAAAAUUUUUGUAUAGCUUCCAUAAAAUGGAUAGAGCAUAAGAAAAAUGUUAGGUUUUAUUUUCUGGUAAUUUUCAGAUAUACAUAAAUUGCCUUUGUUUAAUAAUAGAUAAACCUCCUAUGAUUUUUAAUAAAUUAUGGGUAUAUCCAAAAAUCAUGAAAUUUAAUAUGUGAACUUGUGUUACUGUUAUCUAGCUUCAGAAAUUGUUUCAGUUAUUUUUGAUUAAGUAUGCUCUGUCUCUUAAUAAAGCUAUUUAAAAUGCUUAUAAAAGAAAUAGAAAUGAUUAAUCCCUUUAGGAUUUGGGUGAUAUUUUGGAUUGUUUGACAACCAUGGUUACUUAGCAUAAUAUGCUCCCUGGUUAUGGUUUAUUUUUCUUUAUGAUAUGAUAGAUUCACAAUAUUGCUUAAUAAAGAUGAUAAAACUUGUUUAGAAAUAAUCUAUGUUUUUGGGUAGCUAAGCUUAGUUUGUUUCUAUACCGUGAAGGUAAAUUGUACUCAAGAUAAUCAUAGUUUGUUGUUAUUAUCCAAGCACGUGUAACUUGUCUUUAUCAUACCUUGAGUAUAUCAUAAUCAUGCAUAUGCACUUUUACGUAUAGAAUACGUUCCGGAAGAAUCUGAUCCCCAGUGGGUUUCUUCCGAGUUUGUGGAUCCUUCGAGUGUUGUUGAGUUGUCGAACGUCCCUCCCGGUCAAGGCAAGCCCCGGACAUUAAACCCUAUCCUUGUAUUUUCAUAAAGUUAUUUAUAUCACUUGAGUUAAUAUGAUGCAUUAGGUGAAUAGGAGUUGAGUGAAUCCUAUUUGCUGCAUUAUCUACCUUGAUGAUUUCCAUAUUAACCUUGAUACUUGUUUUAUGAAAAUACUUAGUAUGCUUAGCCCUGCUUAUUAGAUAAGUUUUCAAAUGAAAGAGUUUGAAGGGUUGUUGUGGAAUACUCUUAUAGUUAAUGAUGUUCAAUUUGAGACCGGUCGGUGGACUUGCUUUAAGAAUGGAGUCUUAAAGUAGUGUCUCCAACUGAGUCGAUUAAGGACCGUACCGUUGAUUGGCCUGUUGUGAUUGAGAACUUUGAGUACAGCCCACAUGCGCUGGUAAGCCUUACCUAUAGCUAUUCCGAUACUUGAGAACGGCUAACCGCGUACUGGGAGUGGAGAGAUGGCGAGAGUAGCGUGUACCCACCUUACGGAUCUGAGAUGACCGGGAAACAUCUAGAUUGGUUGUAGGAUGGUGGUGUACUGUACUCUCGGGUGACGCUGGACCCGUUCUUGUAUGGGAGGAUCUAUAGAAAAGGUUGACAUAUGCAAGAUUAAGUUCUACAUAUGUCGUGUGGUACUGAAUCCCCAGCUGGGUUUAAUCGAUUCGAAUCGCCGUGUUUCCUCGGAUAUGGAGCCUCAAUCCUCACCCCAUCAUCGUAGUAAUAAGUGAAUCUUUGGUAUAAGAAAGAGGUGAUUUGCUUAUGAAAGUUGGAUAAUGAUCUUGGUUAGCUAUAAGUGAUAAUCUUGAGUUAAAACUUGAAAGUAGGCUUUACUCUUAGUAAGCUUUUAUGCAAAAGAAAUAAUUGAUCUUGAUAAAGCUUUACCUUGAAUCCCUAUAGCCUGCAUACCUGAGUCUUCAUCUCUUUUAUAGUCGGUUAAGUCUUGUGGAGUACUUUUGUACUCAGGGUUUCUUAACCCAUGUUGCAG